UACAGAGGUCCCAAGCGUUGUUCGGAUUCACUGGGCGUAAAGGGUGCGUAGGUGGUGAGGUAAGUCGGAUGUGAAAUCUCCGAGCUCAACUCGGAAAUGGCAUUGGAAACUACCUUGCUUGAGGGUUGGAGGGGGGACUGGAAUACUUGGUGUAGCAGUGAAAUGCGUAGAUAUCAAGUGGAACACCAGUGGCGAAGGCGAGUCCCUGGACAACUCCUGACACUGAGGCACGAAAGCUAGGGGAGCAAACGGG
rnacentral:rRNA from 1 species